rnacentral:rRNA from 1 species
ACAAGACUCGCAUAGAAGACUGACUUCAUCAUUGCCGUGCUCAUCUCAUUCUAGCACCGAGAGAUCCAAUAUGCACCACUUCUUCCUCUUCCUCAUUUUCUUGCUUCCCCAUGAAACCAGCUACUCGGCCGCCGCAGCUUCCGGCAGCGGUAGCCAGUGCAGCCGGCGGUGCGGCAGCACCGCCGUCCCCUACCCUUUUGGCUUCUCCGCCGGCUGUCCCAUCCCGCUGUUCUGCGACGCCAGCAUAUCCACGCUGAUCCUCCCAUACAUAGGAAAGAACGGCACAACGUACCGCGUGAUAGCCUUCAACUCCACCACCUCCACCGUCGUUGUCGGUCUCCCGCCGUCAUGCAGCCGCAGCGUCCCCGAGGCCAGGAGGGAGCUCUCCGGGGGCAACUACGGUGUGUCGUCUCGCACCUGGAUGUUCCUCCGUGGUGGCUGCAGGGAGAUCAACGCGUCGGUGGGCGUUGGAUGCAGCGUGCCCGUGGACGUCAUGUCCAGGCUGCUCCGCACGGCGCAGUGCGACGGCCUCAGCAACGAAACCUCUGUGGUGUGCGUCGCUUCCACCGCGGCGGAACAGUUUCUGCGGUGGGAGAAGGUCGAGAAGCAACAGUGCGAUGACGUGCUGACCUCCGCAGUAAUCGUGGACACGGCGGAGGGGACGGUGUCGCUGGAGUACGGGCUGGCAGAGCUGGGGUGGUGGCUCAACGGCACGUGCACCGGCGGCAGCGAGCGUUGCGCGGCGAACGCGACGUGCAUCGGUGUGAAAACACCAAGCGGGGAGAUGGGGCACAGGUGCGCGUGCGUGGCAGGGAUGGUUGGCGACGGGUUCCUGGCUGGAGACGGAUGCUACCUCGGUGAGGACUGCUUUCACUCGAACCUUUUAACAUCCCCUGAUUUUGUUUCUCGUACAAGUUGGUAGAAGAGGUGCUUUUGCUUGAUUCGGUAGAUGUAUCUUAACUUUGAUAUUCUUUAGUUUGUUACCUUAGUUAAUAAAGUUGUAGUUUUGUCGAAGGCUAAUUUUAAGACUGCUCGAUGUCGAAAGUGUAAUUACCUCUGAUAUAAAAAGUGAAGGUAAGAGGGACCAUGCUAAAACUACUCGAGAUCGAAAGUGUGACUAUCUCUGAUAUGAAAAAUGAGGGUAAGAGGGACCAUAUUAAAACUGCUCGAGGUCGAAAGUAUGACUACUAGUUAACAAAGUUGUAUGGGUUCCUUUAAAGUUUUAGAAACAUUUCAACAAGAACCAAAAUCAAUGAAAUUUAGUUUUCGGAUUGCAGUUCGGCAGAAGGGCCGAAACAUUCACUUAAAGUUCAGCCUAAUAUUUGAUUUUUUUUAAAUAGUUAAGUUACCUCACAUGUAAAUAGGAUGACACACCAUAUGGAUUACCUACGGAGAUGGCAACAAAAGCUUUCUUUAUGCAUGGUAACAUGUGUCUCAUUUAUGUCAUUAAGAUUAUAAGACAAGCCAGUUAAACAUCGAUCUAACAAAACCGAAAAGACAAUGUAUCACUAGCCUUUGCACAAAGCAACACCGGCCCAAAAAGAAAAUUACAAUUAAGACCGAAGAAUCCCCUGAGCCUGGCACCCAAGAGGACAACAUCGGGAGGUUGGCCUCUUUCGGCGACGGCUAGGGUUCCAGUCGCCUGGCACCCGAGAGGAAAACGCUUCGCGUCAACAUAAGCUCCUCUAGGACGUUGGUUGCCAUGGAGGGGAGGGGCCAAGGCGGAUAGCCAGGACAGACAUGAGAUAGGAGUUAAGAAUACGAGGGGACUGAGUUUUUUCAUCGUGAGAUGUUGAAAAUCAAUCAACUUACUCCAAAGGUUCCUUCACCCUACCACAUUUUAUGUGUGGAAAAAGAUCCAGAUAUGUUCUAAAACUUCUUAAAAGGUACUGCCUCUGUAACAAAAUGUAAGACGUUUUUAACAAUUAUACAUGAAAAAAAUGUCCUAUAUUUUGUCAAAGUGAGUCAAAAGCACCUCAAACAUAAUAAAACGUAUAUGAAUGACUCAACACCAUCAGUUGACCACUAACAUUGACAGAACGACUCCUCGACGUGUCGCUUCCCUACCCGAGCCGGCUUGACCUUGUCGACGACAGAUGAAAAGUCUUCAUGGAUCCCUAAGGACUAGCGUCCCGAAGCCGCAGUUGUUACGAUUUAACCUUUGAAUUGAUCUGAAUGUCUUGACACCAAAUCUCGGCCUCGUGCACGUACAACGAGAGAUCCUAACAUCACCACCACAAGGAGAUGACAAGAAAAUACGCCGGAGCUCCGUUGUCUUCGUUCCAAUGGACGAACUCAGGGAUCGAAGCCCCGUAGACCAGCCCGAAGAUGAAGCACCGCCAUCCAUUUGAAUGUUGCCCUUGUGCGGAAAAAACCUUGAACCUAAACUACUAGCCAAAUCCCUAUCACAUUUUCUAUCGAUGCAUUUAUACAGGGUUCUCAUUUUGUAUCCCCGCAUUUAUUCAGUAUUCUCUUUUCUAUUUGUUUUCUGUUGGCUAGUCUUGUAUUAAUUUAUCCAUAUGCUGAUAUGCACAUCGAGAAAGUUGUGAUUGAGCUCCCAUGCAUGUACACUCUCUAGCAGGCUAGAAUGUCCAUUCUUUUGCAUUGAGAUCUGUGCAUAGAAAUUUCUCUGUUUUGUUUCUCCAAAUGGGUAACCACUUAUAAAGUUGAAACUUUGAAAUUCAACAUGUUUGGUACGGUAUGUAGAAUACUACUCAGGUCUUUUGGUGCACUGUAAAUACCUAAAUUGUUACUAUGUUUCUUUUUGGGGUUUUAUUAUGGAGCUUAUAAGAAACUCUAUAACAUUUUCCACAUGUAUGCCUUUCAUCAUUUGCUCCAUAUUUUCCAUCCAGCACAUGCGUCUCGGUCGAAGCAUAGAAGAAAGCUAGUAGCGGUGUUGGCGUCUGUUGUUUCCGUCGUGUUCCUACUUUCUCUCUCCAUAGCGGCUUCCUUUCUCUUACCCCGCUGCCGAAGACGCAAUACCAUGAAGAAAACCAAACUAGCGUUGAAACUAGGGACAACAUUCUUUCGUGGUGAACUUGUCGACGACGAACUCGACCAAGGAGUUGAGGGCCCCCGACGAUUUUCUUACAACGAGCUUGCAUCCGCGACCGACAAUUUCUCUGAUGAUAGAGCGCUCGGGAGAGGAGGCUUUGGGUCUGUGUACCAAGGUUUUAUGAGCAACAUAAACUACGAAGUGGCUGUCAAGAGGGUCUAUGAGACUUCUCGACAGGGCUGGAAGGAGUUCGUCUCUGAGGUGCAGAUCAUUAGUCGUCUUAGGCACCGCAAUCUUGUGCAACUUAUCGGUUGGUGCCAUGGCGGUGACGAGCUCCUCCUUGUCUACGAGCUGAUGCACAAUGGCAGCCUCGAUACUCAUUUGUACAGAUCUGACUGCGUGCUGGCAUGGCCUGUUAGGUAUGAGAUAGUGCUCGGUGUAGGUUCGGCGCUUCUAUACCUACAUCAAGACACAAAACAGCGGGUCGUGCACAGGGACAUCAAGCCAAGCAACAUCAUGUUGGACGCGUCCUUCACCGCCAAACUCGGUGACUUUGGGCUCGCAAGGCUCAUCAACGACGGCCGGAGAUCGCACACGACCGGCAUAGCCGGCACGAUGGGGUACAUUGAUCCGGAGAGCUUGCUGGCCGGCAGGGCGAGCGUCGAGUCGGAUGUGUACAGCUUUGGAAUUGUCCUCCUUGAGGUAGCCUCUGGGCAGCGGCCAGCUCUAGUCCAGGAAGACGGUGACGUCGUCCACCUGGUGCAGUGGGUGUGGGACUUGUAUGGCAAAGGAUCAAUUCUAGACGCUGCCGAUGAGCGGUUUAGAGGGGAGUUCGACGGCAGAGAGAUUGAACAUGUUAUGGUCGUGGGGCUCUGGUGCGCGCACCCUGACCGUGGCAUGCGGCCAUCCAUCAGGCAAGCGAUGAAUGUGUUGCGGUUCGAAACACCAUUGCCGAGCCUCCCGGCAAGAAUGCCGGUGGCGACCUACGGGCCACCGACUAAUCCUUUGAGUUCCGGGACUUCUGUGCUGAGCAGCAUCAGUGGCCGGUGAUCUGGGAACACUAGUUAAAUUCUCCAGUUAUUAUAGAAUCUUAGUACUAUAUGGCCCAUGAGCAGGAAGAGACAAGUAUAUACAGAAAUAAAAUGUUGCCGCCAUUGAGCAUCUACAGCACAAACCCCAUGUAUAUUGCCGGAUGAUCCUUAUUUGCAAAAGAAACUCUUCCUCUACCUCC